rnacentral:ncRNA from 1 species
AGAGUAGCCAAGGCGCGUCAAGUGCUGCGAAACGGGACGUUGUUCGCAGACGAAAGGGAAGUGUUUUCUCUGCGGUGCCGCGGCGCGUCCGCU